rnacentral:rRNA from 1 species
GACGGAGGAUGCAAGUGUUAUCCGGAAUCACUGGGCGUAAAGCGUCUGUAGGUGGUCAACUAAGUCAACUGUUAAAUCUUGAGGCUCAACCUCAAAAUCGCAGUCGAAACUAUUAGACUAGAGUAUAGUAGGGGUAAAGGGAAUUUCCAGUGGAGCGGUGAAAUGCGUAGAGAUUGGAAAGAACACCGAUGGCGAAGGCACUUUACUGGGCUAUUACUAACACUCAGAGACGAAAGCUAGGGUAGCAAAUGGG